UACGGGGGGGGCAAGCGUUGUUCGGAAUUACUGGGCGUAAAGGGUUCGUAGGUGGCUCGCUAAGUCACACGUGAAAUCCCUCAGCUUAACUGGGGAACUGCGUGUGAGACUGGCAAGCUCGAGUGCAGGAGAGGAAUGCGGAAUUCCAGGUGUAGCGGUGAAAUGCGUAGAUAUCUGGAGGAACACCGGUGGCGAAGGCGGCAUUCUGGACUGCAACUGACACUGAAGAACGAAAGCCAGGGGAGCAAACGGG
rnacentral:rRNA from 1 species